CCCUUAGAUGUCCUGGGCCGCACGCGCGCUACACUGAUGCAUUCAACGAGUCUAAAACCUGCUCUGAUAGGGGUGGGUAAUCUUUUGAAUGUGCAUCGUGAUUGGGAUAGAUGAUUGCAAUUUUUCAUCUUCAACGAGGAAUGCCUAGUAAACGCAAGUCAUCAGCUUGCAUUGAUUACGUCCCUGCCCUUUGUACACACCGCCCGUCGCUCCUACCGAUUGAAUGAUCCGAUGAAUAUCAUAGACUGAGAGUAUAAGCAGGUUCGCCUGUCUUUGCUUCUCGGGAAGUGAAGUAAAUCUUAUCAUUUAGAGGAAGGAGAAGUCGUAACA
rnacentral:rRNA from 1 species